GGCAGAGGGAAGGAGGAGAUGGGGUUGACAGUGGUAGUGGUGUGGCAGCGACGAUGAUGGAUUGCAAUCGAUAGGGCUGAUUCUGAUUGAUAUCAUGCCGAAAACUCUCAGACAAAGGAGAUGAAGAAAACUAGGGUGGAAGGAAGGUUCUUAAGCGACAAUGACUUGAUUGCAGAGUUCAGCAACUUUCGAAGGUGAGGAAGAAGGAAGAUUGAGGCAAGGAGACUUCAGUGGUGGAU
rnacentral:lncRNA from 1 species